rnacentral:rRNA from 1 species
GACGAACGCUGGCGGCGUGCCUAAUACAUGCAAGUCGAGCGAAUCAAUGGGAGCUUGCUCCCUGAGAUUAGCGGCGGACGGGUGAGUAACACGUGGGUAACCUGCCUGUAAGACUGGGAUAACUUCGGGAAACCGGAGCUAAUACCGGAUACGUUCUUUUCUCGCAUGAGGAGAGCUGGAAAGAUGGUUCUGCGAUCACUUCCAGAUGGACCCGCGGCGCAUUAGCUAGUUGGUGAGGUAAGGGCUAAUCAAGGCGACGAUGCGUAGCCGACCUGAGAGGGUGAUCGGCCACACUGGGACUGAGACACGGCCCAGACUCCUACGGGAGGCAGCAGUAGGGAAUCUUCCGCAAUGGACGAAAGUCUGACGGAGCAACGCCGCGUGAGCGAAGAAGGCCCCGGGUCGUAAAGCUCUGUUGUUAGGGAAGAACAAGUACGAGAGUAACUGCUCGUACCUUGACGGUACCUAACCAGAAAGCCACGGCUAACUACGUGCCAGCAGCCGCAGUAA